UACGUAGGGUGCAAGCGUUGUCCGGAAUUAUUGGGCGUAAAGAGCUCGUAGGCGGUUUGUCGCGUCUGCUGUGAAAACCCGAGGCUCAACCUCGGGCCUGCAGUGGGUACGGGCAGACUAGAGUGCGGUAGGGGAGAUUGGAAUUCCUGGUGUAACGGUGGAAUGCGCAGAUAUCAGGAGGAACACCAAUGGCGAAGGCAGAUCUCUGGGCCGUAACUGACGCUGAGGAGCGAAAGCUGGGGGAGCAAACCGG
rnacentral:rRNA from 1 species